UUCUCCUCCUCUCCUCUCCUCUCCUCCUCCUCUCCUCCUCUUCCUCCUCUUCUUUAACUCCCCUGGAUGAAUGGAUGAAUCCACCCUUUUGUGUGCGAUGGGCCGUUCCUCGGCAACAGCUCCAUGGUUACAGUCCAAUAAAUAACAUCACACUCGCUCCUCUGCCUCUCUGGAUCUCAGGAUGCGAAGGAAAAGUUUCUUUGCUUUUGUUUCCUGAAACUGUGAAGCAGAUUCAGAAUCCCAAACUGAGCGUCUGAUCGGCGUUUCUGCAGCUGCGCCGUUGGUGACUGGGUGAACGCACGCAGAGCCGCAGUGAUGAGCUGAAAACAUGCAAAGCGGCUCAUUAGAAAACCCAAAUCAGCUCCGGCAGAGGAACAGGUUUGGAGUGGGACGCGCCGAAAGAGAAGAUCUUUGUUUUUCUGCUGCUUUUUGUUUCGUUUGUUUACUUUAUGAAAAUAUAAAGAGCAGUUCUGCUGACAUGACAACCAGAUGUGAAGCAGAAUCUGAAAAGUCUUUUCAUAUAGACUGUCAGUCGGUUUCAGGCCUGGACUUUGACUAGACCAUUCUAACCUUCUAACUUUGAACUCUGGUCAUUCUGUUUCCUCCAUGUUUCCUUCUUGGUUUCUUCUCAUCCAUAAAGCCCAGGUUAAUCUCCUGUUAGCCAGGGAUGUCCAAAGUGUGGCCCGGGGGCCAUAUGGGGACAUCCGGAUGAUUUUGUUUGGCCCUCCAGUCGAACUCAUCCCUUCAGCACAGGCAGGUCGAACCAAACUGAGGGUCAAACUGAAGGAAAGAAGCAGCAGCCAUGACUCAGAGAUCUUGGUUCUGGUUAAAUCUCCCCUCAGAUCCUGUUUCCUCCCGAGGAACCGAGUUCCUCAAAAGCUCCGAGUCCCACAGGAAGCAUCGCUGCCACGCCGGCCUGUCCGGAGCGGGAACGCCGCAGGAACGCCGCAGGAACGCUGCAGGAUGGCCCCUCUGAUGCCGCACAGCAGGAAAACUUCAGGCCAAACCUGGAAUCAUCUCAACUGAACAGCAGCAGAGAGGAGGAAGUGAAAACAAGAACUGCCUUCAUCUUAACUUUAUCAAAACUCAGUAAAAGUGUCAGACAGCUGCUGCCUUCUCGUGGUUCGGUGUGAAAGCGGCGCUGCUGCUGCAGGGAGCCAAACAGGAGCAGCUCAAAAUGUCUGACAGAGCUGGAAACACCCAGAUCCUUCAUCAGCAGCAGGCCGAACCAGCCCGAGACAGGCGGAGAGGCUCUUCCUGCUCGGCUGCAGCCGCCCGCAGGGGAGGAGGGGUGUGAUGGGAGGAGAGCUGCCUGCGCUCCCUCCAGCAGGGGAUGAUGGGAGGAGAGGAGGAGGGGUCUGUAUCUGGAGAUGGAGGGCUGUCAGGAAUGUGGGAGAGCAAGCAGACAUGCAGCGAGCGAGGAGUCGAGCCGCUCGCACUAAAUUUAACAAUGAGAGUCGGCAGAACGUUUAAAUUUAGUCUGCAGCUUCACCGAGUCGGAGCGGCUGCUGCUCACCCGGCACAAAACAUCUUCAUCCUGCGGCCGAGCGGCGGUCCGAACGGGUCAGGUUCUCCUCCACAAACCACCGAGGAGCCUCAGGGUCUUCCUGCACAAAGGAAACUUUUCUGAGCUUUAUGUUCAAGAGUUUUACAUCUUUCAUGACGUGGUGAAGAAAUGAAGCAAACUUCAUCUAGAUCAGGUCCAGAAAACACAAAACAGAAAUAAUCUGAAAUCCUGACAACUGAACUGAUGAUGAAUCUAAAAGCUCCAAACUGCAAGACGCUGAUUUCAAAGAAUCAGGAAGUUAUCGUCACAGUUUGAUGUUUUCUGUUUCAUCCUCUUUAUUUUACCCGUGAAAAGGUUUGCAGAUUAUAAAAACUGAACAAACAAAAGAGGAAAAUCUGAAGAAAACCCUUCAGAAAGGACGAAAUAAAAAAGAAA